UACGGAGGGGGGCUAGCGUUGUUCGGAAUUACUGGGCGUAAAGCGCACGUAGGCGGCUUUGUAAGUUAGAGGUGAAAGCCCGGGGCUCAACUCCGGAAUUGCCUUUAAGACUGCAUCGCUAGAACGUCGGAGAGGUAAGUGGAAUUCCGAGUGUAGAGGUGAAAUUCGUAGAUAUUCGGAAGAACACCAGUGGCGAAGGCGACUUACUGGACGACCGUUGACGCUGAGGUGCGAAAGCGUGGGGGAGCAAACAGG
rnacentral:rRNA from 1 species